rnacentral:rRNA from 1 species
GUGCCAGCAGCCGCGGUAAGACGAACCGUGCAAACGUUGUUCGGAAUCACUGGGCUUAAAGGGCGCGUAGGCGGGCGAGUAAGUCUGGGGUGAAAUCUUUCGGCUCAACCGGAAAAGUGCCUCGGAAACUGCUCGUCUGGAGGGAGGUAGGGGCAUGUGGAACUUCUGGUGGAGCGGUGAAAUGCGUUGAUAUCAGAAGGAACGCCGGUGGCGAAAGCGACGUGCUGGACCUCUUCUGACGCUGAUGCGCGAAAGCUAGGGGAGCAAACGGGAUUAGAAACCCCCGUAGUCC